GGAAGCACAUGAGCUCAGCUUUAUUCGUUUGAUUUGUUUGGAUCCUUUUUUUCUUUAGUAUGACUUUAAUAUUUGAACUCUGGAGUAGCUGGAGAAGUUUUGUUAAACAUUUAUUUAAAUGCACUUUCUUUGAUUCUCUGUUUUGUGACGGACUAAAACUGGGAGUGAUGGUUUCGUACAGACUUUUAUUCCCUUUAAAAUGAUGAAUCUUUAUAGAUUCCAGUCAGAUUCAUGUCUCCAACCGGAGGAAAGGACGGUUUUCCAGAUUCGCUCCUGUGUGAUGUCACUUCCUCACUGUCUGCUCUGUCCUCCUCCCCCGGUCGUCUGCUGCGUUCACCGCACGUUCGUCAUCUCCAGGAGACGUCUGUGUGAGCUGUUUGUCUUGAUUAGAGCCUGGAGAAUCUUCACUUGGAAGCUGGUUAUCACUCGUCUCAGUUGACUCUGACGUCUUAUCCGGCUGUGAGGGCGUUCGUGUGACAGAGGCGGAGUCGUCCAUCUCCCGCGACCCUCUGAGGAUUUGUGAUAGUGACAAUGCCUUGGUGUUUUUAUUUAGUGUGAUGAACUCCGUCAUAAGCUUUAAAACCUGGGUUGACAAAAGUCUGGAAUCACGAAAGGAUUCCACUCUAAGAAAAUAGAUUUAUGUCGCUGUCGGUAUCCUGUAGAUCAAGGGCUCUAGUUUUCUAAUGAUGUGAUUGGUUAGUAGUUGGGAUGUUGACCGUCUCUGUUACCACAAACCUAACUUUAAUGUUUUAAAUUCAUAUAUCGAUCAACAACACACAAAGAACGUAGACAAUAAGACAUGAGAUAACAAAAAACAAAUAAAUCCCAAAGUCAAUGAAAUGAGUUUCUCCAGGUCUGAGUGGCCUGUUAACAGGUUGAGCCAAUGGUUGGCUCACGGUUUUGUUCCGUCUUUCCAGUUAAGCAGUUGGUUUUCUCUUCUUCACGGUUGAUGCCAUUUAGAACGAAAGAUUUGUGGGAUCAGGAGAGAUCUCCUGUCAGAUGAGGGGGAUACUGAGGGUGACAGCUUUCCCAUGACCUCCGACCAAAACCGUGCAACUGGUGCACAGAGGCGAAGCGUGGACGUGGUGUUCUGUUGCACUGGGGCAGUGUGUGCACGUGUUGGUGUCAGUGAAGCACAUUUUGUGAGCGGUGAUGUGAUCUCGUAUUGAAUUAAUUAAAUUG